CGGCGGACGGGUGAGUAACGCGUGGGUAACCUGCCUCAUACAGGGGGAUAACAGUUAGAAAUGACUGCUAAUACCGCAUAAGACCACGGUACCGCACGGUACAGUGGUAAAAACUCCGGUGGUAUGAGAUGGACCCGCGUCUGAUUAGGUAGUUGGUGGGGUAACGGCCUACCAAGCCGACGAUCAGUAGCCGACCUGAGAGGGUGACCGGCCACAUUGGGACUGAGACACGGCCCAG
rnacentral:rRNA from 1 species